AAAAGGAGGAAAACAGAAGGACAGCUGUGACAGUAAUACAUGAGCAUUCAAAACAGGCAGGGCCUUCUGAGAGUGUCUGUCAUGGCUCUGCUCAUUGUCCCCAGCCCUAAGAAUGGAAGGGCACAUCAGAAAUCCCAAUGAGGAGGCUCUGCAGAGGAAGAGAGUCUGUUCUGCCCAGACUGAUGGGGCAACAGGAUUAUUUGGAGACCAGGUUCAAAAGAUGAAACUGUCUGACAAAAUGCUUCCACCACAUCCUUGGAGUUUGGGGCAGCCAGUGUGCAGCCUCAAACUGUGCUGAUAAACAAUGAAAUAAAGCUAAGGAGCUAAGUUGAUGGUUGAAGUCAAGAUGUGAAUUUCAAUGCAACUCAGUGGUUUUGAGUCACGUGUGAGGAGACCCAAACAGUGAAAACUCUGGUGAAGAGAUGAGAGAAUUUUCCAGAACUCCAGUUCUCAUUUUGUGAGGGACCUGUACAGCCCUUUGGACAUAAGAUACUGCCUGAGACUGGGAUUGGAUCCAGCCACACCCAGGAAUUAUGAAUUCUGAGCAGGAAUUCUGAAAGCCAAGAGGUCCUCUCUGAUCUAUCAUGUCUGUGAUUCUUCAUCACUGAUGAACCAAGCCUGUGGAUGUCAACAGAUGCUCAGUUUAGACUCCAACCUGAAUUGCACAAGGAAGACUCUCCAGGUUAAAUGCCAAGCUGUGACGCUCCACCAUUAUGCAAAAUCCACUGCUCAGAGAUUUACCUGGUCUUUGCUCCCUCAAUUGAAAUGUCCUGACAUAAAUAAUUCCAGCAUAAGCCUCGAAGAGAGCUGGGAAAUGACAACCUGCACCAGUUGCUGGAGAGGGGGAUGAAUAAUGGAGUGUACACGUAGCCACGGGCGAGGAUUUGUCACCAGGGCUCUGCAAGCACGGCCACGUCUCACUUCACUGGGACAUUUCUAGGGACAAGCAACACCUCCAAGAGCCUUUUGUCCACGGUGAAAUGUCACUGCGCCUUUCCCAAAGCAGCAAGGUGUCAUUCUGAAUACAAAACUGGAAUCUCUGACUUGCUACAACUGGAGUCUGACAAUUGUGAUGCUGGAAAAAAGCUUUCAUUCUUAAAAAGUGCAUCUGAAACCUAAAUACAGUAACUGCAAACACUAAAAAAUUAUAUUCUGACAAUUUCUACUGAUCCUGCUUUUUCCAUUUCAUUCAGGGCUGGAUCAAUUCAUGUCAUCUCAUAAUUAUAUCAAUUGUAUUUUUUAUUUUAAGUUUCUUACUUCAGCUUUACUUUAAUCCAGUGCCUGAUUUCCCUCAUGGCAUCCCAGCUUGCUGAUUUUAACCCAUCCUUAUACUCUUAUGUUUUCAAGAUACUUACUGUUAAAAGGGGAGUAGUGGGGGAGAGGUACUGCUCAAGGAAAGAAUUGUAUAAGUAAAUACUUUUGUAAUUUUUUUUAAAAUUUUAUUUUAAUUCUGCAUCUCCUUUUAAGAUAUUUAUUUUCCUGACAGUGCAAACAUCUUUGGCACAGGAUGUCAUAUCCUGGGAUCCCAGAUGCACGUGGUUGUUCCUCAGGCAUUCUCUAAGUCCCUUACUCCAUUUCCAAAGCAGUACUUGUCCUGGAGAAUAUGACUGAUCAAAGUUAGUGGUAGUUUAAAGCAUUAAAAUAUAAAAAAAUGUAUAAAAUAACCCAUUGACACCAAAAAACUGAUGAUCACUUUAGCAACAAGAACAAAAAUUACUCAGCUGUUCUUGAUUUAAUUAAAAUUCAGUGAAAACAUAUUUUUCUUCAAAUAAUUUACUUUUGUUUCAUCUAUUUGGUGAAAGAUAAUGGGCAGCCAUAGGAUAAAUAUAAGUUUAUUUAAAGGAAAAAUCUAAAAGACAUAUGUUUAGAUUGGGGAAAACACUAAAUAUUUACUGUAAUUUGUAAUUAUGGAAUUGGUGUAGCAAUGGCUGAGCUGAACCCUUCUCAUUUCUAAUAUUAGAAAGUUUCAUCAAACAUGGCUCACUUAAAAAUUUCAUUUAAUUUUGUACUGUCUGUUACUAUUGAGCUUUUUGUAGAGAAUACAUAAAACAUAAAAUAGAAACAGAAAAGACUGAAGAGCUUCUGUUCUUUGUUCUUAGCCAUUAUUUAAGAAAGUCUCUCUUAUUCUUUAAUAAAAUAACUCAAUAACAGCUAACAGCUCCAGGUUAUUGCCAUCUAAUUCUGAAAUGAUUUUACUGUAAAUGAUCUUAUAAGUACAAAUAAGAUUAAUGCUAUAAUUUUUUUUCUAUAAAUAUAGAGAUCUACAAUGUAGUUUUCACCACUUUACAUAUUAUUCAAAUAAGCAUUAUAAACUUUUAAGUACAUUUUUUUUCUACUGAUUCAGAGUGCUUCUCUUGGAAAAAUGUAUAAAUAUCUUAGGAAUUAUCAUCAGCUUUAUUAACUUUUCUGAGACCUGAAAUUUCUUCCUGUAAAUGUCAUCCAGAUAUUAAUCUGCGCAAACUGAUGAAUUAUUUGUGAUUGUUCCUGUAACCAAAGUGAGCCUUCCACCAAUAAUUAAAUAUUUUGAAGGUAUUUUCUCAGUGGCUGUGAAAAUGAAGAAAACUCCCUCUGCCUGGUUUAGAAUUAGGGAGACUUCCAGGGAAAAAAAGUGCCUGGAGUACAAGAAUAAUCCAUUAUAAAACUGGGAAUCCAUAGUUGCUAACACAAAUUCUCUUUCUUUAGUCAGCCAUUCUCUUUAAUAGACAAAAGCAGAGCAAAGAGUUUUAGGGAGCUAUAAAGAAUGAGAGAACAGAGAUAUUUCAUCUCUCAGGUCACCAUCCUGCAGCCUCCUGAAUCCAUCCCAUCCCACAGAUAAUGAACUCCCACAGGAGCACUUGGGCCAGGUCAGUCCCUUGUGCUGGACAUCAGACCUGCUAGUAAAGAAUUCUCUUUUUGUCCUGCAACUCCUGCCCAGCUGCUCCAGGUGGGAGCUCAGGUGAGACCCCACCUGCAGAGCUGCCCCAGCACAGGGAGGAGCUGGAGCUGCUGGAGAGAGCCCAGGGGAGGCACCAGCAUGGUCAGAGGGAUGGAGCAGCUCUGCUGGGAGGAAAGGCUGGCACAGCUGGGAUUGUUCACCUGGAGAGGAGAAGAUUUGGGGUGACCAAAUUGUGGCCUUGCAGUGCCUGAAGGAAACUACAGGAAACAUGGAGAGAGACUUAUAAGGGAUGGAGGGACAGGAUAAGGAGGAAUGGCCUCCCACUGCCAGAGGUCAGGGUUACAUGGGCUAUUGGGAAGGAAAAGUCUCAAGCUGCAUCGAGGGAAAUAUAGGUUGGAUAGUAGGAAGACGUUUUUUACAGGAAGAGUGAUAAAGUUCUGGAAUGGUCUGCCCGGGGAAGUGGUGGAGUCACCAUCCCUGGAUGUGGCACUGGGUGCCAGGGUCCAGUUGAGA